rnacentral:tRNA from 1 species
GGGUAGCUCAGUUGGUAGAGCAGGGGAUUGAAAAUCCCCGUGUCGGCGGUUCGAUUCCGUCCCC